GAACUCUGAACCGAGCAAACAGCCAGAGGGAGCGACGCUCUGCAGAGGCAGACUGGACCAGAACCGGAUCAGAACCGAGCUGAGACCAGGACGUUUCCAGCCUGAAGCUGCUGUUACAGUCUGAGGAGGUUUCAGCAGCAGGAUGAAGAUGAUGCAGGUCACCCUCCAUCCAGGCUCUGGCUCCAGACCUGAACCCUGGAGACCCCCAGCACCUGAGCAGGUCCAGACGGACUCCUUCCUGACCGCGGCCCGGCUCCUCCGUGAAGGAUGGACGAACGACGGGACGAGCAGGAAGCAGACGCCGUCGUCGCUUCGACCGCAUCCCACCGCUUCUGUGGGACCCCAGGUCCAGGACUCCAGAACCAAACGGGUCCACAUCGUCUUCAGGACCCAGGACAAAGACAUGAACAUUGAUAGAAACGGACCUGAAGGCACCGCUGCAGGGACAGGGGUGSUGAGGUUUACAGCGUCUGGCUGCCGCAGCAAAUGUAAACAAGCUGGGAGGUCAAAGGUCACCGUGCUGCCYGUCAUAUCUGAGCUGUAGGCUCCAGAACCAAGUCCAGGUUUACCGUCCUUCACUAGAACGUCCAGUUCUGAAAGCUCAGGCAGACAUGUUUGAUUUAACAGAGUGGAAUAAAAACAGCUGAAGUUUAGCUGCUGACUUGCUCUGCUGUUAAAUUAUCAAAAUGUGUUUUUCACUGUUUUUAGAUAAAGUUGGAUCAAUAAAUUUGUCCUCUUUAAUCAACUGAUUAGAUUAAAAUGAUCUAAACGGUUCAAACAUUUAGUUUAUCUUUUGAUAAAACUUUGAAGUCAUUUUGUCAAAUUAAUUUGCUCAAAAACGUAAACAUUAAAUACAAAAACAGAUUUUUGUAACAAAUGUGAAUGUUUAUUACUAAUAAAUGCCAGAGACACCGGCCAAGAAGACUACAAUGAAGAAAUCAAAUCUGUUUAAAAAAAAAAA